UCGCGCCCGCCAGGAGAGAGCUUCGCAACCGACCGCGAAGCCGCCGAAGGCGCAGAGGGCGAAUCGAAAGACGAGCCCUCGAACGCUCAGGCAAAAGGACUGGCCAACGCUU
rnacentral:ncRNA from 2 species